AGCGGCAAUUCAAGGAGGGGUUGCUCUACUCUCUUUUCCCUCACAUACUAUUCAAUCACACGCUUUCUCUUCCAAUGUAAUUGUUGUUUCCAUAAUUAUGAAACCCUCUCUUUUCAAACUUUUUUUUUUCAAAUCACAAACCCUAAAUCUCAAUCUUCCACAUUUGCGAUUUAGCCAGAAUUCUUUCUCAUCUUCUCUCAUCACCGUGAAGGUUUUUUCGGCAACAAUCAACUUCGUUCUUCUGUUCGUUAUUCUCUCUUCAUCUUCUUUCAUCUUCUUCCAUUGAUCCAUGUUUGUUCCUUAUCAACAACUUAUCAGCUCAUAGGUUACAAGAUUGGUGAAAUAAAGCGCUUUGGAGAUGGUGCAAAUGAUGUUGGAAUGAUUCAAGACGCAUAUAUUGGCAUUGGAAAAAGUGCUGUUGAAGGGAUACAUGUUUGUCAUAUUAUGAAAAUGCUACGAUGGCAGGUAACUUUGCGAUCGGACAAUUUUGGUUCUUGAAAGGCUUCUGGUGGUACAUGGUAACUGGUGUGGUGCUACAAGAGAAGCAAUCAGAUGGUAACUACAUAGUGUUUUUCCGUUUUGCUAACCUAAGGAGUUCUUGGAGAAUGAGUCAACUGGUGAGUUUCGUUGCUUUAAUAUAUUAGGACAAAUACAUUCACACGUGUCCAUUCCAAUUGUGCGUCUUACAGUUUAGAAUAUAUGAGUAUACAACCCAAGAAAUAAAGAGAGAAGGAGAUGCGAUAGUGGCCAGGAACAGGGGUUAAAGUGAUGUCAGAUCAAUCAUCUAGGGUUCUGACCGAGGAUUUCAAGCGUUGAGCUGUAAUCCGGGUUCUAAAUUUCAAGUUGAAAGAUGGAAAGGGAUUUCAUGGGUUUGAAUUCAAAAGAUUUAAAGGUCAUGGUCAAAGAUGAAGCUGUUGAUGGUUAAGAACAAGCCCUGCAACAUCUGGGGCAUUUGCAGGCAAGUUUGUGAAUUUGGAUUAUCGAUCGUAUUUACUAUUCCUUAACUGGAUGCCGGACGCGCUAAAGAUGCUGGAACUGGAGCUCAUUGAUCAUGCUGGAUUGGAUUCUGUAGUCUAUUUGAGGAUUUACUUGCUAAGGGCAUGACUGAUCUCCUAUCUCCAAUAUAUUAUUCAUAAUGCGGGAUGAAUCAGAAGCAUUCUGGUGUUUUGUUUCUCUAUUGGAACGACUUGGGCCAAAUUUCAACCGUGAUCAGAGUGGCAUGCACUCUCAACUGUUUGCACUGUCCAAGGUCCUUUAUCUAUCUCUCCCUCCCACUGUUUGGAAUACUUGCAAGAGAUCCCUGUGCAUGGUUCAUGCUUAAAGUAUUACUUGAACAAUUCUAUAUUUGUAUUGGUUGAAUUAUAUAUUUCUAAGACAAAUAGAUUAGAAAUAUAUGUAUGUAAAUUUCAUGCUAA